rnacentral:rRNA from 1 species
UACGUAGGGCGCAAGCGUUGUCCGGAAUUAUUGGGCGUAAAGAGCUCGUAGGCGGUUUGUCGCGUCUGCUGUGAAAACCUAAGGCUCAACCUUGGGCUUGCAGUGGGUACGGGCAGACUAGAGUGUGGUAGGGGAGACUGGAAUUCCUGGUAUAGCGGUGGGAUGCGCAGAUAUCAGGAGGAACACCGAUGGCGAAGGCAGGUCUCUGGGCCAUUAACUGACACUGAGAAG